GACGAACGCUGGCGGCGUGCCUAAUACAUGCAAGUUGAGCGAUGAAGAUUGGUGCUUGCACCAAUUUGAAGAGCCGCGAACGGGUGAGUAACGCGUGGGGAAUCUGCCUUUGAGCGGGGGACAACAUUUGGAAACGAAUGCUAAUACCGCAUAACAACUUUAAACAUAAGUUUUAAGUUUGAAAGAUGCAAUUGCAUCACUCAAAGAUGAUCCCGCGUUGUAUUAGCUAGUUGGUGAGGUAAAGGCUCACCAAGGCGAUGAUACAUAGCCGACCUGAGAGGGUGAUCGGCCACAUUGGGACUGAGACACGGCCCAAACGCCUACGGGAGGCAGCAGUAGGGAAUCUUCGGCAAUGGUCGAGAGUCUGACCGAGCAACGCCGCGUGAGUGAAGAAGGUUUUCGGAUCGUAAAACUCUGUUGGUAGAGAAGAACGUUGGUGAGAGUGGAAAGCUCAUCAAGUGACGGUAACUACCCAGAAAGGGACGGCUAACUACGUG
rnacentral:rRNA from 1 species